UACGGAGGAUCCAAGCGUUGUCCGGAUUUAUUGGGUUUAAAGGGUGCGUAGGCGGAUAUGCAAGUCAGAGGUGAAAGCUAGCAGCUUAACUGUUAAAUUGCCUUUGAAACUGCAUAUCUUGAGUAUAGUUGAGGUGGGCGGAAUGUAUCAUGUAGCGGUGAAAUGCUUAGAUAUGAUACAGAACUCCGAUUGCGAAGGCAGCUCACUAAGCUAUAACUGACGCUGAGGCACGAAAGCGUGGGUAGCGAACAGG
rnacentral:rRNA from 2 species